rnacentral:rRNA from 1 species
GACGAACGCUGGCGGCAUGCCUAAUACAUGCAAGUCGAGCGAACAGAUGAAGUGCUUGCACUUCUGACGUUAGCGGCGAACGGGUGAGUAACACGUAAGGAAUCUACCUAUAAGCGGGGGAUAACAUUCGGAAACGGGUGCUAAUACCGCAUAAUAUCUUCUUCCGCAUGGAAGAAGAUUGAAAGACGGCUCUGCUGUCACUUAUAGAUGACCUUGCGGUGCAUUAGUUAGUUGGUGGGGUAACGGCCUACCAAGACGAUGAUGCAUAGCCGACCUGAGAGGGUGAUCGGCCACAUUGGGACUGAGACACGGCCCAAACUUCUACGGGAGGCAGCAGUAGGGAAUCUUCCGCAAUGGGCGAAAGCCUGACGGAGCAAUGCCGCGUGAGUGAAGAAGGCCUUCGGGUCGUAAAACUCUGUUAUAAGAGAAGAACAAAUUGUAGAGUAACUGCUACAGUCUUGACAGUAUCUUAUCAGAAAGCCACGGCUAACUACGUGCCAGCAGCCGCCGCCG